rnacentral:rRNA from 1 species
GACGAACGCUGGCGGCGCGCCUAACACAUGCAAGUCGAACGGAGCUGAGAGAAGCUUGCUUUUCUUAGCUUAGUGGCCAACGGGUGAGUAACGCGUGAGUAACCUGCCCUGGAGUGGGGGACAACAGUUGGAAACGACUGCUAAUACCGCAUAAGCCCACGAUCCGGCAUCGGAUUGAGGGAAAAGGAUUUAUUCGCUUCAGGAUGGACUCGCGUCCAAUUAGCUAGUUGGUGAGGUAACGGCCCACCAAGGCGACGAUUGGUAGCCGGACUGAGAGGUUGAACGGCCACAUUGGGACUGAGACACGGCCCAGACUCCUACGGGAGGCAGCAGUGGGGGAUAUUGCACAAUGGGGGAAACCCUGAUGCAGCGACGCCGCGUGGAGGAAGAAGGUUUUCGGAUUGUAAACUCCUGUCGUUAGGGACGAUAAUGACGGUACCUAACAAGAAAGCACCGGCUAACUACGUG